GAUCAUGGCGUCAGGAUGAACGCUGGCGGCGUGCCUAAUACAUGCAAGUCGAGCGAGAAUCUGAAGAUCUGCGAUCGUCAAAGAGAUUCAGAGGAAAGCGGCGGACGGGUGAGUAACGCGUAGGCAACCUGCCCCUAGCAGAGGGAUAGCCAUCGGAAACGAUGAUUAAAACUUCAUAAUGCUGUUUUAACACAUGUUGAGACAGCCAAAGAUUUAUCGGCUGGGGAUGGGCCUGCGUCUGAUUAACUAGUUGGUGAGGUAACGGCCCACCAAGGUGACGAUCAGUAGCCGACCUGAGAGGGUGAUCGGCCACAUUGGAACUGAGACACGGUCCAAACUUCUACGGAAGGCAGCAGUAAGGAAUCUUGCACAAUGGGGGAAACCCUGAUGCAGCAACGCCGCGUGAACGAUGAAGGCCUUAGGGUUGUAAAGUUCUGAUCUGGGGGAAGAAGAAGUGACGGUACCCCAGGAGAAAGCCCCGGCUAAAUACGUGCCAGCAGCUGC
rnacentral:rRNA from 1 species